rnacentral:rRNA from 1 species
GACGGAGGGUGCAAGCGUUGUUCGGAAUUACUGGGCGUAAAGGGCGCGUAGGCGGUUCGUUAAGUCCUGUGUGAAAUCCCCCGGCUCAACUGGGGAACUGCACAGGAAACUAGCGGGCUUGAGUUCGGGAGAGGGAAGCGGAAUUCCGGGUGUAGCGGUGAAAUGCGUAGAUAUCCGGAGGAACACCGGUGGCGAAGGCGGCUUCCUGGACCGACACUGACGCUGAGGCGCGAAAGCUAGGGGAGCAAACGGG